AUAGCGUAUAUUAAAGUUGUUGUGGUUAAAAAGCUCGUAGUUGAACCUUGGGCCUGGCUGGCCGGUCCCCCUAACCGGGUGCACUGAUCCAGCCGGGCCUUUCCCGCUGUGGACCCCCAUGGCCUUCACUGGGUGUGGCGGGGAACCAGGACUUUUACUUUGAAAAAAUUAGAGUGUUCAAAGCAGGCCUAUGCUCGAAUACAUUAGCAUGGAAUAAUAAAAUAGGACGUGUGGUUCUAUUUUGUUGGUUUCUAGAGCCGCCGUAAUGAUUAAUAGGGACAGUCGGGGGCAUCAGUAUUCAAUUGUCAGAGGUGAAAUUCUUGGAUUUAUUGAAGACUAACUACUG
rnacentral:rRNA from 1 species